rnacentral:misc_RNA from 1 species
AACGCACCUUGCGCCCCUUGGUUAUUCCUCGGGGCAUGCCUGUUUGAGUAUCAUGAACACCUCAACUCUCAUGGUUUUCCAUGGUGAGCUUGGACUUUGGGGGUUUGCUGGCCUUAUGGCCGGCUCCUCUCAAACGAAUCAGCUUUCCAGUGUUCGGUGGCGUCGUGGGUGUGAUAACCAUCUACACUCAGGACCGUCUGCCAGGUAACCCUCAGCGAUGACGGUUCACUGGAGCUUAUAAAUGUCUCUCCUCGGUGGGGACAACUUUUGAACGUUCGAUCUCAAAUCAGGUAGGACUACCCGCUGAACUUAA